ensembl:rRNA 5S_rRNA 5S ribosomal RNA
UGCCACAGCUAUAUCAACAUGCAGCCCAAGACCUGUUACUUAUUGAAGCUAAGCAGGGCUGAGCCUGGUCAGUACCUGGAUGGGCGACCGCAUGGGAAAACUAGGUUGCUGUUAGAG